GCAGCAACUAGCAUCACUGGACUUACAUUGUAUGCAGAGUUUCAGCGGAUUACAAAUCAGAACCUGCCCAAUACAUUCUACGCUGAACUUGACCGCCAUCUUCCUCGACUGAUGACCUUAUUCAGACAGAAGGCAUCAAAAACUGGGAAGACAGCUGAUGCCCUGGCUGAAAUUCUAAGAAUUCACAAUGAACAGGAAAUCCAUGAUAUCCACACCAAGCGCACUACCG